rnacentral:tRNA from 1 species
AGGCACGUAGCUCAGUUGGUUAGAGCACCACCUUGACAUGGUGGGGGUCGUUGGUUAGAAUCCAAUCGUGCCUACCA